UACGUAGGGGGCAAGCGUUAUCCGGAUUUACUAGGUGUAAAGGGAGCGUAGACGGCCAGACAAGUCUGAAGUGAAAAUCCAGCGCUUAACGUUGGAAGUGCUUUGGAAACUGCCGGGCUAGAGUGCAGGAGGGGCAGGCGGAAUUCCUAGUGUAGCGGUGAAAUGCGUAGAUAUUAGGAGGAACACCAGUGGCGAAGGCGGCCUGCUGGACUGCAACUGACGUUGAGGCUCGAAGGCGUGGGGAGCAAACAGG
rnacentral:rRNA from 1 species